GGGCGCUUAGCUCAGCGGUAGAGCGUCGCCCUUACAAGGCGAGGGUCGUAGGUUCGAUCCCUACAGCGCCCA
rnacentral:tRNA from 1 species